CUCUCUGCUUAAAACACACACACAGACGGAAAAGAAAAAAAGGAAGGAGGGCACAAAAAAAAACGGAACUCACUCCCUUUUUCCUCUAGGAGCAAGCCUUAAAAACUAACAAUCAAAUUUCACCGAAAAAUCAGCAAAAAUCAGCCUCAAAACAGUGCAAAUCCUAGCCAAAAAAUCAGUUCAAAAGCCGCCAUAAAUCACCAUAAAUCAUCCUCAAAAGCUUCAGCAAAAUAGUCUCCAAUCAACAUCACAAAUCACUCAAUUUUUUGGUUUCUUUAUUGCGGAGUUUCAAGGUUCCGGCUACAGUCCGAAUUUUAUUUUUGUUGUAUAAUCAUGCAUCAAUAGCAGUGCCAUUACUUGAAGAACCCUUUCAUCUAUAAAAGGUCCAAUCUUUUUAUCUUGUUUGCUUUGUCUAUUUAUUGUUCCAUUUAGAUGAUAUGUGCUAAUAUGCCUAUUUGCUUGGAUCUGUUAUUCUUUUUUUUUGAGCACAUGAUUUUUCUUAGUUGUUAGUUCUUGUCGUUAAGUUUAUUAGCGUGUGAUGUUGAGUUAGAAUCUAAAAGGAAAAUUUCAAAAAAAAAAAAAAAUAGAACUUAAAAAUAAUGAGGGAAACGUAAUGGUAACAAUAAUGUAUUUGGAUCCUAAGGUUUGGUUUUUGUAAAAGUUAUUUUCUUUAUCAAAAUAAACUAAUCAAUUUUAGUAAUUUCCUAGCGUUAGUUUUAUCAUUUGGUCGAAUUAGUUUCUAAUAUUGUUUUAACUGACUUAUGAUAAUUUUAUUAAUCCUUCAAAUAAUCCUCUCUUGACUUGUGGUAAAUACUAAAUAAAAUACUUUCAUAACUCUUGAGCAUCACAAUAAUCCUAACUUAGGAAAUAGUAAUUUAAAAUGCUUAGGCAAUUUUAGGCGCGUCUUCAAAAGUUGACCAUGAGCUCUUACGAUCCUUGGUUAAUAUCAAUUAAUAAAAAUGGUCAUGUGUGCAUUCCCGCUCCUUGACUCUCUAACUAACAAAUUGCGUUUAGCCAUGUGUUCAUACCCGUGCCUUGGUUUAAACGCACAUGAUAAAAGGACCUUGUGUGCUUACACGUUUCUAGGCCGAAAUCAAUAAAAUUUGAUUAAUUAUUAAGCGGUACUAGACAAUAGUAAUUUAAGGCAAAUAAAUCACAGUUUAUCUAGAAUUAAUUCAAGUUAAGUUUAAGUCAAUAAAGCGACCGUGCUAGAACCACGGGACUCGGGAAAUGCCUUACACCUUCUCCCUGAUCAAAAGAAUUCCUUAUCCGAACAUUGAUUUCGCAGACCAACAUGAAAAGAGUUAAAUUUUUCUUUGAAUAUGGAUUCAAAUAAAAAGGUGACUUGGAACACCGGUAAAAAUCAAUUUCAAGUGGCGACUCUGUAAAAUAAAAUAAAUCCCUAUUUCAAAUUUGUCACUUCAAAUGGAAAAAACUCGUUAACCCACAAUCCUUAAUAACACAUUAUCUUUUGGAGGAUAGAAAAGGGGUGUGACAAUUAUAAAAUUAGCAGCGAGUUAAAUGACCAAAGGCAUACUAAGGCUGAAAUAAAUUUCUCUCUGCCUUCUCUCUACUUUAAGAGAGAGAAGCCUGUACUUCACUCCAACAAACAACAAUCACAUAAAAGUUUUCGAACGAUGGGCUCAAGUGAUAAUGACCAUAUGUUUCAUCAAGAAGAAGAUUUACUUAAAAGGAGCAAAAACAAUUAUCGAGAGCCAACCGAAAAUAAAGUAAGCUUUCGAGACAAAAUUCUAAUCCUAAAUGAGGUAGUUUGAUUCGGACGAAGUUUAAGAAAAAAAAGAAGACUUUUGAAAUUUGUGGUCUUAAAAGCUUAAGGGGUAAAAAGUUUGUGGGGCCAUGAUAUUUGCAUGACUAUAAAAGCUUCUCAUUAAGUGAAAAUGAGUAAAAUGAAAGAAUUUAAAGUUGAAUUAUUUCCAAAUUUAAAAAUGUGUCAUUUAUUUUGGAACAGACUAAAAAGGAAAGUACCUCAUUUAAUAUGGAACAGAGGGAUUCACCUAGAGGGAUUCAACAUUUUUUCCGUAAUACAGGGUGCCUACCCCUGGUUACAUUCUUUUUCCGUCAUAUAGUGUACCAAACCCUAGUUACAUUUCCUUACCAAGUAUAGGGUACACCAAUCCCUAGUUGUAUUCUCCAACAUAGGGUCUCCAUUCCCUAGCUGAUUUUAUUUCAGAUAUAGGGUCACCACUCUCUAGUCUCCUUACUAGUAUAAGGUACACCAAUCCAUGGCUGUGUUUUCCAACGUAGGGUACACCAAUCCCUAGUUGAUCUGAUCUUAAGUGCAGGGUGUACCAGUCCUUGGUAUCUUUGAUAUUAAGGGGUACACCAUUCUCUAGCCAUGUUUUUCCAACAUAAGGUACACCAAUCCUUAGUUGAGACACCAUUUAGAUAAUUAGGAUACACCAUUCCCGAAGAAUUAUGUUUUCCUAGGGUACACCAAUCCCGACUCUUUAUUGCUUUUAAUAAAGUAGUUUAUAAUUUUAUUAGAAUAACUCACGAAAUUUUUCUAGUGAAAACUGAGGCAGAAAAAUUUCGUUCGUUUGUUUGUUUUGGUGUCUGAGCAGGUCUUACCUCAAGGUACAAGGUUCAAGAUGACCAAGAGAAGUAUCAAAAUGGAGAAACAGAUGAAAUAAUGUGGAUUGUUCAAGAUAUGACUGAAGUCACGAGCAUUACAUUUUUCCGUUUUGAUCAGAAGAAGUCGUAGAAGAAUGAACUAGCACCUAUAGCUAGCAAGCAUCAUGGUUCAGAUCAGAGUCUACGUGGAGAACCAGUCAGGACUCGAGGACAAGUUUCAGAAGACUCAUAGAUAGGAAUCUUGUAACUCAUAGCUGAUAGGCUUGUUUAGUUUCUUUUUGAUUUUUGAUGUAAUAAUAGACUUACGGACCGAAGCAUCGACAGAACCUCACUUGACUUAUCAACUUAUCAUUCCACAAUUCUCCUUGAACUGCACGCGACCUGAUUUCCCUAUAACCCGCGAUAUGUAGGCUGUCCAAAACCAAGACUCGGUUGCACCCUUUCUCUUUUAUCUUAUCCUUAUUUCUUCCCUUUAGAAUAAAUAUAUGUUCAAAAAUUAGUCAUAUCGCUCAUCUUGUCUUUGCAUGAAAACUCUUCUUUUUUCCAAGCAAAGAGGGGCAUGCUGUGAGCACCUAAUUUUUGACCACACUUACAUUUUUCUAAACUCCCUCACGUCGUUUAGCACAUACUUUACCACCAACACAAUUAUUCCCUCACAUACUUUACACUAACCAUACACUCAUUUUUCACUUACAAAAUUAUUGCCUACCCCAUUCUCCUUUAUUCCUCAACCCACUUUCCCUUGGCCCCCUCACAUGUUUCCCACUUCCCCUUCCCUCAUUCUCUCUGCUUAAAACACACACAUAGACGGAAAAGUUAAAAAGGGAGUAGGGCACAAAAAAAACGGAACUCACUCACUUUUUCCUCUAGGAGCAAGCCUUAAAAACAAGCAAUCAAAUUCCACCGAAAAAUCAGCAAAAAUUAGCCUCAAAACAGUGCAAUUCCUAGCCAAAAAAAUCAGUUCAAAAGCAGCCAUAAACCACCAUAAAUCAUCCUCAAAAGCUUCAGCAAAAUAGUCUCCAAUCAACAUCACAAAUCACUCAAUUUUUGGUUUCUUUAUUGCGGAGUUUCAAGGUUCCGGCUACAGUCCGAAUUCUUUUUUUGUUGUAUAAUCAUGCAUCAAUAGCAGUGCUAUUACUUGAAGAACCCUUUCAUCUAUAAAAGGUCCAAUCUUUUUAUCUUGUUUGUUUUGUCUGUUUAUUGUUCCAUUUAGAUGAUAUGUGC
rnacentral:lncRNA from 1 species